rnacentral:rRNA from 1 species
CUCUGUGACUCCUACGGGAGGCAGCAGUGGGGAAUAUUGCACAAUGGGGGAAACCCUGAUGCAGCCAUGCCGCGUGUGUGAAGAAGGCCUUCGGGUUGUAAAGCACUUUCAGUAGGGAGGAAGGUAGUGUAGUUAACACCUGCACUAUUUGACGUUACCUACAGAAGAAGCACCGGCUAACUCCGUGCCAGCAGCCGCGGUAAUACGGAGGGUGCGAGCGUUAAUCGGAAUUACGUGGGCGUAAAGCGCAUGCAGGCGGCCUGUUAAGUCAGAUGUGAAAGCCCCGGGGCUUAACCUCGGAAUUGCAUUUGAAACUGGCAGGCUAGAGUCUUGUAGAGGGGGUAGAAUUUCAGGUGUAGCGGUGAAAUGCGUAGAGAUCUGAAGGAAUACCAGUGGCGAAGGCGGCCCCCUGGACAAAGACUGACGCUCAGAUGCGAAAGCGUGGGGAGCAAACAGGAUUAGAUACCCUGGUAG